GCAGCGCCUUACCCGGGAGGGCGGCGUCCCCAGGGGCGCCGGGACGGCCGAGGUGCAGGCACCCGAGGAGCAGGACGCAGCGCAGCAGCAUUUUCGUGACCCCUGUGUCAGUGUUCCCGGUGCAGGAGUGUAGCACUUUUGCUUGUUGGGGCUGCAUCCAGAAACCUGGGGAAAAUCUGUCCACUGGACGUCUCAGAAGACCGGCAUCAUCACUCCCACCAACUGGACUGCUGGCCGGUAGCAAAAGACCAGCUGGAAAUUUCAUAAAAGGUUAGACAAUCCACAGUUACUCAGUGUUACGCAACAGGUCUCUGCAGCACAGAGCACGAACUGGGGAGUCAGGAUGCUGGAGUCCAGCCCUGCCUCUCUGCGGAUUCCCUGCCUGACCUUGGGAAAGCCUCUUGGGGUCUCGGGGCAUAGGGCAGGACUGAGACGUUGAGACCCCAAGUGCAAAGAAGACACAUUUCUCCUACCACGAGUAAUCAAAAACACUAUGAAACUGUAAUAUGGGCCGGGUGCGGUGGCUCACGCCUGUAAUCACACUUUCGGAGGCCGAGGAGAUUGAGCCCAGGAGUUGAAGACCAGCCUGGGCAACAUAGGCAGAUCCCAUCUCAUUUUGUUAAUAUAAAAUUUUUAAAUAAUAAUAAAACUGUAAUAUAAAUUGUAUUGUUUCCUAUCUUGUCCACCUUGGUAUGUUUUUUGGAAAUAAAUUCAAUUUUUUUCCUUUUUA
rnacentral:lncRNA from 1 species